UUCCGGGACGCCCACUAUGACUACCGGUGAUCCUGAUUGGACAGUUCCUGUUAGUAAUAUCGUCGCUGAUUGGCGAACUGUACUCCAGCCUCACCCUCAGCCUAAAGAAUCGAAACUUCAGGAAGGCCAGGCUUUUGCCCUACUGCCUGCACCUUUAACGAAAGCAGACUUCCGUGAACUCAGAGGCUUGAAAGGCUACGUGAUGAGACCGCGACUCAACGCAAACAAAUAUGCCAGACGUGGUGGCAGGCAUUUCUUUCUUUUCCGUGACAACAGUUCGCUUUGUGGAUCCGCCUGCCGCUGCCUCCCAAAUGCUGGGAUUACAGGCGUUCGCCACCUCGCCAGACUGGUUCAGUCAUUGCUAAGCCCUGGGACGCUGCUAUGUUGGAGACUCACUUGGUCACUUCAAGACAUGCUAUCCAAAGAAAUCCUGUCUAGAAAAGCAAAACAAAGGAACGUAUAUACAAACAAACAAAGCCCAGGAAUAAACACAUCUCCUCUGAUACAAAAGGAUUAUUCCUGUGAACUGCCAAGUGCCAAAUGAAGGCACAGGUAAUUUUCCAGGUCUUUGAAGAUAGAAUUAUUUAGGGGCCACAAAUCAAUUUUGGGUGCAUGCGAUUGUCAGAAGACAACUUUCAGGAACUGGGUCUCUAUUUCCAACAUCUAGGACCCAGGGAGGUAACUGAGAUAAUCAGGUUUUGAAAAAACACCCUUCCUAACUGAUGCGCCUCAUGGUCCAACCACAUUCUGCUUUCAGCCUCUCUAUAGAGCUUUCUCCUAGUCUGGUAGCCCUGCCUAUACAUCCUGCCUGGCUCCAUCCUGCUUGUCCAUUGUCCAAAACAGCUUUAUUCAUCAACCAAUAAGAGAAACAUUUAUUCACAGCAUACAGAACAACCUCCACCAGCAGUUGCCAGCAUGACUUCCUUCAAGAAACUUACACCAAAGAUUUUUGUGAAGCUUUUCCCACAGUCCUUUGUAAGGUGUUACUCUGUGUUGUAUGUGGAUGGUGAAAUAAAGAGGUCUACUCCAAGAUGAAUUUUUGGUUCUCCAAGACAGUAUGGAGAAUCACUUUCUAUGAACUAAACCUUAAACACCCAUGUAAAGGCUUAUUUAUUAUUCCAAACAAAUAUUUUUGGGAGGGGGUUAAAAAAGAUUAGCGUAUCAAAGUCCCUGAUCUAUUCUUUAUGUUUUUCUUUAAAAAAAAAAAAGCAACACACCCCUGGCACUUUAACCCUAUUUGUAGUGUUUGUAGUACCCAAUAAUUCAAGAUAUCCAGGGUAGUCUUGUAGCCAAAGUCAUGACAAGGUUGUAAAGAUCUUUAGAAAAACAACUCUAUAAAUAACAAAAAUAAUCACUGUUUUCCACAAUGAUUUCUUCAAGGUGCAAGAUCUUCUAGCAAACAGCUACUCACUCUGUUGUGUACCCUGUAUGCCACAAAAAGCGACUAUUUCAUUCUACUCUUUACUCUAGAUACAGGGACUCUGUUAGUUUCCCAGAAUAAUUCUUACAUACAUAAGGCAUUUCACUUCUGUGAGUUCUGCUAUAUGUUUCUCCAAACAUGAAGCAUAUAUAAUGUUUUCCCACAUUGCUUACAAAUGUAACUUUUCACUCCAGUAUGAUCUUUUUCAUGAGUGUUUUUGCAUGAUCCACCCUUUUGGUUCUGCCAUGCACAGGACACACGCACACACAGGUCCCCUACACAGAUGCUUCAGUCCUUGGCAAAAGUUAUUGGCUUAGCAGAGGUUCCACAUGUUGCUCCUUCAGCUAGGGCACCCUAGUUCAGGGACACCAGCCCUGCCUCUUUGGGUCAUGUAAUAGCUUCUUUAAAAAAAUCUUCUACCCUUGGAUUUCCUAUUCAACCAAACCUUGACCUUGUGUAAUGGGUCCCCUGGUAUUUGGUGAUAUUAGGCCAAAGUUUAUUUCCAAGAACUUACCUGGAACUCUCAUGACGCCAAAAACUAUUUCCUGGAAAUUUUCAUACAUUAUCAUAACCUGCAGUCAAUUUGAGGUCCAGCUUUGGCACCCUGCGGACCCUAGGUAUGUGAAAUGACUAACAUCCUUGAAAAUGUUUCUUAAAAAUGAUAUUUUCUCUUUAAUCCUAGUUCAUUCUUUAAGCCCAGCUGACAAGAAAGCACAGAUUUUAAGGUAAAAUACCAAAGGAAUUGCCGUUCCCCCCCCAGUCUUUGAUGUAACUAUCAUCAUGUCUGAAACUAUACAAACCAGACGUCCAAUUUUUAGACUCUUCUCAGCAUUCCUGUGCCCUGAAUUCUGCAUUAGCUCAUUAACCUUUGAGCAUUCUAUGACUUUCUAUCCAAGCUUCCUGGUGUUCUCCUAGUCCUGAAUAAACCACAGGGUCAGCUCUGUCACAGCAUUACCCCAUGAACCUGGUAACCAACUUCCAUUUUUGCAGCACUCCCAGUUCCUGGGAUAAACGUCAUGGCCAAAGUCAUCUUCUCUGUAAUAGAUCAUGUUUUUGAAUACACUUCCAUGUUACAGUUAGUCAAGAAAAGGCGGAACAGGAGCUAAAAUUAGGCAGGAACCCACGGUCCAGAACUGAACUUGAGCCUAUGGAGGAAUUCUGCUUUUUAGGUUGCUCCUUGCGGAUGAUAAAGGAAUGCUUCUGAUAAUAAUCAUUCAAAGCUGCCCAGAGGAUCACCACUCAUGAGCUAAGCCCUCUGUCAUUAAACAGGAAUGAGAAAAUUUACCCAGAGAGCUGACUACAGGCCAUCUGGAUUUUCUCAUUUUCUCAAUUGAGAUACUGUCUUCAGGUCAUCCUAGCAGGAGUCACACUGAUAACAAACUAGCCAGCGCAGGCCAAGUAUUAAAAUGCCAUAGUGUGAUGUAAAAAUCAGGUGAUUGUAAUGAUUGUCUUUUAACACCAUUCCUGGUGUUAAUGAAUGUUCACUCUUUUAUGUCCAUGAAUUUUCUUAGGUGUGUGCUUAUUUGUGCUGUGUAUAUCACUUGUGUGAAAGAGAUUUGUAGAGUCCAGCAGAGGGUAACGUAUCCUUUAGAUCAAGAGUAAUGGGAAUUUCUGGCCAUUCCACAUGGAUGCUGACAUCAAACUAUGACCUGCAAGAAGAAUAAGAAUUGUUCUUAAUAUCAGAGCUUGUGAUACAACUAUGUCAUAAUCAUUAAAGAAGUAAAGUCAACACUCCAAUUCUUUUCACAUGACAGGGUCUUUCCAUGUAGUUCAUGCUGUCCUUAACAUUGUGAAUAUGGCGUUCUUGUCUCUGAGACAGUGUAGUUGCAGUGGAACACAUAAGCCAUCCUCCAGUAUUUCCCUUGGCUACAGUAAUGCUUUUCACAUGUUUUGCAGAACCCAGGAGUUUGAGAACUACUGUGCAUUUGAAUAUCAUAGUCAGUAUAUUGAAAAUCACCAACUGAUUAGAGAGAGAAUGCUGCCGAUAAAGAUACACCUUGUGUAGUGAGGUUCUAUGAAAGCCAAUUGCAUGUAAGAAACAUUCACUAAUCAUUCAUCCUCACCGUGGGUCUCAGAGUCCAGACUGGAGGGGAAAGAUCUCAGUCUAAGGAAGCUGUGCCGAAGCCUCUUAAUCAUCAGAAACACUGGAAAGAUAUCAGUCGUUCUAAAUCACUUCAGUCCUUGAAACCUCUCUUACAGAGAAACAAUGUAAAAAUCAACAAUGUAAUGAAUCCUGUAAGACUCUCCCCUUUGAUCAGCCUCAGGAGAGAAAUCAAAGCAGGGAUAGAGACAAUAGGAAUGUACUAAUAAGAAACACACAUGGCCAGAGUGUGAGUGGAAGUCUGCACUGGUUCUUCCCGUCAUGAGGAAGUACAAGCAUAGUUUGGAGUUCUCAGGAUCUCACAGUAGGAAACUUUUGGACUUUUAAAAAGAUACUGAUGUUUUCGAGCCUGACAAGUUAAAUGGUUAGAGUUUAUUAAACACAGGGAGAGUUUCGAUGUUAUACUUUAGACUGUGAUAUCCAGAGUAUUUAGGAUCAAUCAAGAAAUUGAAAUAAUUGAUUAAUAUCAAUGUAUUUGUGCAUCACGAUGACAAGUAAUCCAUUGUGUUCAUUAUUUUUUUGUCAAUUUGAUACAAUCUCUGACACAUCUGAAAACAGAGAACUAAAUGGAGAAAAUGGCUCUGUCUGAUUGACUUUUGUUUUUUGCUGUU